GUAAUUUGUACAAAACCUAAAUGGUGAGGAUAUAAUAGUUUUGAAAGCUGAAAAAAACUAUCAAAGAAGCUAGUGCACUCCCAUAAUCAAAUGUUUAUAUGAUGAGCAUAAUGCAGUAGCUGUGAUACAUUUACAUUCACAAGAAGUAGUCAAAUUAUGUUUGUUAAAUCCAGAAAAUGAACUAACGAUUAUUACUGACUUAGAAAUGAUCAAAGAAAAAUCUUUGAAAUUGAUGAAGAACUUAUUAUACCAGUAAUUGAGGAUUCAAAAUACGAUCAAGAUUCAGCUGACUUUUUUAACACAACCCUGAGAAAAUAUCCCAGUACCUCUGUAGUUUUGUUCCGUAACCAUGGAAUGUAUGUAUGGACUAUAUGGGCAGUGAUUGGAAAUCAGUGAAAACCCAAUGUGAAUGCUAUGAAUAUUUAUUCAACAUAACAACUUUCAUGAAGAUACACAAUGUUUAAUUAAAUUAUACUCGUACAUGUAGACUACCUUAUUGGAGAGCAAUUGGGAGUUUUUCAUUCUAUUGAGGAAUUGAUUUAUUUAAUUUUUUUCAUGCUAAUAUAAAAAGGUCUUAUGAUUUAUUAUUUAUGAUAAAUUAUAUAAUUUGUGAGGAUAUUAUCUUUAUUACAAAAUUAUAUACAUUUUUAGUUAACAAGAACUCAUUUUUGUAAAUUAGUUGAUUCAACUGUGUUUAAGCAUCUAAAAUAUUAUGGUCUUUAUUGAUCUUUUUGAAUAAGUAAUCAUGUUUAAGUCCAGUCACUGAAUGUUUA